rnacentral:rRNA from 1 species
UACGAAGGGGGCUAGCGUUGUUCGGAUUUACUGGGCGUAAAGCGCACGUAGGCGGAUCGUUAAGUCGGGGGUGAAAUCCUGGAGCUCAACUCCAGAACUGCCUUCGAUACUGGCGAUCUUGAGUCCGGAAGAGGUGAGUGGAACUCCUAGUGUAGAGGUGGAAUUCGUAGAUAUUAGGAAGAACACCAGUGGCGAAGGCGGCUCACUGGUCUGGUACUGACGCUGAGGUGCGAAAGCGUGGGGAGCAAACAGG